CCUACCACGGCAUCGAUCAGUAGCUGGUCUGAGAGGACGACCAGCCAAACUGGAACUGAGACACGGUCCAGACUCCUACGGGAGGCAGCAGGGGGGAAUUUUGGACAAUGGUCGAAAGCCUGAUCCAGCAAUGCCGCUGGAGUGAGGAAGGCCUUAAGGUUGUAUAGCUGUUUUGUCAGGUCAGAUACGGUGAAAGCUAAUAUCUCUUGGUAAUCAGUGUUCCUGAAGAAUAAGCACCGGCUAACUACGUGCCCCCGGCCGCGGUAAUACGUAUGGUGCAAGCGUUAAUCCGAAUUA
rnacentral:rRNA from 1 species